AUGAAGACAAUAGGUUCCGUGUUUCAUCGAUUUCAGGAGAGUGAUUUGUUCUUACAAAGGGUUUUAUGUUACAAGAGGAGACAUGAGGGGCCUGCUAGAGCUUCGUCUCCACCUCACAUUGCCACAUUAUUACACACUGAAAAUGAUGAGCAGUUGAAGCGACGCGUGUCUGAAAAGGUUGCCAAUGAUCAGUCACUCCCUUCCGCGGCGUUUGAUAGGCCAAGCAAUGGGCCUCGGAACCCAGAACAGCAGAAAAUAUCCAAAUACAUCAGCACUCGUGUCACAGAGGUGUUCCCAGUUAAAAAAUCCAGAAACGUUGGGAAAGAAAAUUGUAAGGAUGCUUUACUGAACAAUGAGAAGGCUCCCAAGUCUGCUGAUGCUGUAACGGCUUCACAGUCUGCAGAAUCUCCGUUUCCACGCAGCGAUGGCGACUCUGCCCAGUUGGACUCUUCUGUUCCAUCGCUCGCGGAAGCAGCAAAACCAGGUUUUAGGAAAGCUGAGAAAUGCAGCAAGAAUGCUCUGCGGAGUGUAUCAGAGCUUCACAUUGGUGAUGAGAAGCAGGCUGGCUCUAGCAAAUUCGACAUGGACAAAGUGAUGAAAGGGUUCGGAGCUCGUGGUGCUUCUGGAGCUUCCAGUGGCACUAACAUACAGGCUGGUGACGUUCCUUUGAAGUCUUCAGAGGCGUGCCCUUCCAAAUCACAAUACCAGGAAAAAGAGCUCCUUUGGAUCUCACCUUGA
rnacentral:rRNA from 1 species